AACGAACGCUGGCGGCAUGCCUAACACAUGCAAGUCGAACGAGACCUUCGGGUCUAGUGGCGCACGGGUGCGUAACGCGUGGGAACCUGCCCUUAGGUUCGGAAUAACUCCCCGAAAGGGGUGCUAAUACCGGAUAAUGUCUUCGGACCAAAGAUUUAUCGCCUUUGGAUGGGCCCGCGUUGGAUUAGCUAGUUGGUAGGGUAAAUGCCUACCAAGGCGACGAUCCAUAGCUGGUCUGAGAGGAUGAUCAGCCACACUGGGACUGAGACACGGCCCAGACUCCUACGGGAGGCAGCAGUGGGGAAUAUUGGAAAAUGGGCGAAAGCCUGAUCCAGCAAUGCCGCGUGAGUGAUGAAGGCCUUAGGGUUGUAAAGCUCUUUUACCCGGGAUGAUAAUGACAGUACCGGGAGAAUAAGCUCCGGCUAACUCCGUG
rnacentral:rRNA from 1 species